rnacentral:tRNA from 1 species
UUCGCGCAUGGUGGAUUCACAAUCCACUGCCUUGAUCCACUUGGCUACAUCCGCC